ACGAGCCCUCGGAGUAGUUCGGCAGUUCUCGGUAGAGUUCGGAUUUUCAAAUUCGAUAUGGCGCGAACACAUCAUUAUUUGAAAACAUACACGGAUAAGGAUCUUUGAGCGUUAACGGAAACCUGACGUAGCACAUUGGAACCAAAAUAACGAGCGAGGGUCAGUGCAGGAGGCAACCCGGUACUGCAGUCUGCCAUCACCGGACCUUCACUUAUAUCGUCGCUCGGCUAAUAACGCUAGUAAUGUGAUAUGAUUAGCUUAGUUGAGUUCAGUUUAGUUCGUAUUCGUUCAAUUUAGUGGUUCGUCGGCAAAAUCACAUCGAGUUAAACCCAUUUAGGCCAGUUAAGUUGCCGACUUCGGUCCGGUACUCGUUCCUAUGCAGAUCUGCAACCCUGAGGUUAGCUAGAGAAAUCGAGAUUCGAGUAUCGAUAUAUCGAUCUUAGUUCACUGAACUGUCGAACGGCAGAUCCGCCAUGUUGAUUUGGUGAAUAAAGGUUGGUAAAAGAUUGUAAAUAUCUUGACAGAUCUUAUACGUAUUUGGCAAACCUGAUUGAUCGAAAGUAUAACAAUAAUAUAAUUAUCAAACUCUUCGUUAAGGCUGUUUACAUGUGAUAUACAGAGAGAGCAGUGUUAUCGAUGAUUUAAAAAGGAAUAAAACUAACCUUUAAGCGAGGAAGGAUGAGUAUCGCCGCGCAUUCGCGGACCAAUUAAAUCAGCGCGCUUGACGCUAAUUAACGCGAAUGAAAUUAGCAGUUAAUACGCGCGUACACAUGUGAAUGGGGGUAGUUUGAUUGGGCCAAUUCGAGGCAAUUCCUGGCGAUUGCUGGUUUCAUUGAGGCUGCGCUUAAGAGCCUCAGUGCCAUGCUGCCGGUCAACGGACAUGGAUCGCUUCGACGUGUAUUUGGUGUUGUCUUCCAUUGACGUGUAUCGGAAAUCAUUAUAUCGGAAAUCGCGAUCGAUCGAUUAUCGAGAGUAGGUGUGAUCGAUUUCUGUUUUUUAGAAACACGUGAAACCUGGGUUAUGUAAUUCGAGGACUCGAUGUGAUUCUACGUGUGCGACAACCGGAAGCACGCGACUUCGCAAAACGGAAAUGACUUGUGUUGCUGUUCAGUUGGUACCUGACUUUUAAGUUUCGUUUAGGGCAUCGUUCUUAUUUUUUUUAUUUGAAAUUAAUGUAAGCAAUAUAAACUAGUGUUUUACAUGGAUUAUAUUAUACCUAAUGCUGUUAUAUGAAUAUUGUCGAAUGAUAAGAAAAUUUCAUUAGGAUUUGGCACUGAUUCGAUUAAGAUAAGCGGUUAUGAUUUUUGAAAAUUUUUCAAAAUUCAAUCCACAGAAACGACGUGUUACGCAAGGGAGGAUAUUUGUAUAAUAAUAAAUGAUAAAAGCGUAGCAAAAAUUUUGUAAAUAAAAUAUGUAUUUCAAUGAAACGAAUAAUUGUGUAUGACAAAUAUAUGUCUGGAAUUGUGUGAGGAAUUGCGGGUGUACGAAAUAAAACUGGAAUUGACGAUA